GGCAGGCAUUUGAAUGACUCAUGGAGGGGAUGAGCUCAGAGACCUUGCAGGAGCUGGCGGUGGAUUAAGAAAGGUCCAUGUUGAACCAAAGAGGCCAGAGACCUUAGCUCUGGUUCCAGCUAAUGUGCCUAGGAGUGAGCCAACAAAAAGUCACAGUAACUAUGGAGAGAAGCCUAAGAAGUAGAGUAACACAAGCUCUUCCAGCUGCUAUAUCUCAGUCUACACAAAUCAACAAAAGUAUCUUUGUCAGUAGAUCAAAUAGCCCAUUCCAUAUGAUGCUACCAAGGAGACUUCAGAGCUUUUGUUCUGUCUCAGGGAAUAUUUGCUAAGUGGCUUUUCCAUGAUAAAAGAGGACUGCAAUGUUGCUCUUCAUUUUUCCAUCAGUGUUGUACUUUUGAAUAAAGGUAGAGAUCUAAAAUGACUCAUAGUCUCCACAUUUGUUUCAUCCCUCUCUAACUUUUUACUUGUAAUGAAAUCAAAUACAACUAAAACAUAUUUUUUUCCUUUAGUGUCGAAUGAGAA
rnacentral:lncRNA from 1 species